AUGCCCGUCAAACUUGUCGGCAUUGAUGUCGAGUACACGCACUACGAGAAGCCACAGCGGGUAGCAGUGCUCCAGCUAUGCGUAGAAAAAGAAUGCCUUGUCUACCACAUCUCUGCAGCUAAAGACAUGCCAAUGGAACUAGACAAAUUCCUCAUGAAUGAUGAGUACACCUUCGUCGGAUUCGCUAUUGAAGGAGACACAAUCAAGCUGAAGGUAUCUGGUUUGGAGAUCAACUCCGACAACUACAUUGAUAUUCAGGUGGAAUGGAGAGACCCAUACAAUAAAAAGAAGUUUGACUGUUUGGCUGAUGUUGCCGGCAGGAUGAUAGACAUUCACUACCGGGACAUGAAGAAAAAAAUUAACCGCAAGGAGGACCAUACUUUGUGGGGAUUUUGCCCACUGCCAGAAAAGCUUAUCAAGUAUGCAGCAAUAGAUGCAUUCACAACACACGAGUCAUGGAGAAUCAUCUACGAUGUCAUAAUGGGACUGGACAGGGCAAAAAGAGAAAAAGAAGCAAAGAAGAAGAAGAACAAGGCUAUAAUCCAAUACAGCAACUAG
rnacentral:rRNA from 1 species